AACGGCCAUACCAUGGUGAAUAUACCGGUUCUCAUUAGAUCACCGAAGUCAAGCAUCAUUGGGCGCGGUCAGUACUUGGGUGGGUGACCACCUGGGAACACCGCGUGCCGUU
rnacentral:rRNA from 1 species